UACGGGGGGGGCAAGCGUUGUUCGGAAUUACUGGGCGUAAAGGGCUCGUAGGUGGCCAACUAAGUCAGACGUGAAAUCCCUCGGCUUAACCGGGGAACUGCGUCUGAUACUGGAUGGCUUGAGUUCGGGAGAGGGAUGCGGAAUUCCAGGUGUAGCGGUGAAAUGCGUAGAGGAUGGAGGAGAACACUCGUGGCGAAGGCGGCCAGCUAGACCAGUUCUGACACUGAGGCGCGACAGCGUGGGGAGCAAACAGG
rnacentral:rRNA from 1 species